CCAUGUGUGUAUGUGUAUAAGUAACAUAUGUAUGUAGAGACAGUACGUAGUCUCAAAAGGGUUGCAAAUGCGUAUUGAUGUACAGAUGUACGCAUUUUGAAAUUAGUUUUAGGUGAGGUCAGAUUGCUUCGUAUUUGUGUGUGAAUUCAAGCUGGUGUGAGUCUUCAAAAGUCACACCCAAGUCAUUGUACACACGUGUGUGUGGUUUAGGCUUAUGGAUCAAUCCUUUUGAACACAUUUUUCUUCAUAUAUGCAUCAGUUAGAGGAGCAAACAAGCAAUAAAAAGAGUACAUACAGAAAAACCAAUUUUAAUAAAUGUAAGAAUCCAUGUUUUGUACUUGUAAUUUAGGCAUUUCUGUGAAUACACAAACGGUUAGACACAGAGGAAAUUAUGUGAGCUGUUACAUGUAGGAGUUGGUAUGGUGGUCCGGAACAUAAUGUAUGUCAGGGUUUGUUUGUGCCUCUGGAAAUUAUUAUUUUCUUAAUGCGUGUGAACCCAUCGGUUAUAAUUGCAGGGUUAGAAUAAAAUAAGAAAAAAAAGCAUGUAUAUUCUUGGUAGACAUGAAGGGAAUUUAACAUCGAGUGGAAGUGACUGUACAAUGUUUAGUUCAGUUGCUUAGAUAAUGAGAUCCAGUUUUCUGCCAUUGAAUAAUUAGUCUUGUAUUCCAAUAAAUCAGGUCAAAACAAUUUAAUUCAUUGGCCAUAUAUUUUCUCUGUUAAGCAUGUGAACCGCAUACUUUACAUCAUAAUUUAUCAAGCUUUCAACUCACUUACUUUCAGAUGGUAUUCAUUAAAACCUCGGUAAUUGAUGGCGUGUUAUUGCCAGCUUUUAUUUUUAUUUAAUAAGUUCACACUGUUGAAAACAUUUUAUUUGUGAUGUUGAUCUCAAAUACAAAAAUGUUUAUUUGUUGCAUAGUUUACAAGAAGGUGGUUUAUAGAGUUCUGUCUUCUCAUCUAACACCAUAAUCGGGUCUAGUUUUUAUUUCAUUUUUGGUUUUCCAGCUGCUGCCCCCGAGCAGCCACCCAGAGACCCUUUGCUGCACUUAGUCUCCCUGCAGGGGGCGUCUGGCUGCUGGCUGCUUGAUCCAGCUCUGGCUACUGCACUGGGAAAGACCAACGAGGAGGUGGAAAAGUCAAAGCCUGAAAAGGCCAACAGUGAAGUGUGGGCCACCAUUUUGGCUCUGAUCUGGCUUCAUGGUUUCAAGAUGGAUGCAAAGGACGAGUGGGAGCUUCUGGCUAUGAAGGCUGCCUCAUGGCUCCGUGCUCAGAAUGCACCGUGUGUGACAGAGUGUGUGGAUGCUGGAAAUGUCCUGUUGGGCUGCAGUGUGAAGAAAGACGCUCUGGGCCUAUGAGGGUUUUCUGAAAGUGGAUUGGUGAACAGAAGCAUUUCUACUUACACCAUACUGCAUUAGACUUGGUGUUGCUUUGUGAAAUCUAACAUUUUAUAAUUGUUAUAAAAACACAACUGUUCUUUGACUAUAAAAUGUUAUUUUACAUUUGAGCCAAAUUUGACUUUAAUGUUCAGAAUGAUCUGAAAACCCAUAAUACACUGUAAAGAUUAGACAUCUA